UUCUGAGUCCAGUAUUAGCAACCGGCUUGUCACAUUGGAGUCCUGGGCUGAUGAUCCUGAUUAUCUGAAACGUCAAGUUGGUUUCUGUGCCCAGUGGAGCUUAGACAAUCUCUUUUUAAAAGAAGGUAGACAGCUGACCUAUGAGAAAGUGGACUUGAGUAGUAUUACGGCCAUGCUGAAUAGCAACGAUGUCAGCGAGUACCUAAAGAUCUCACCUCAUGGCUUGGAGGCUCGCUGUGACGCCUCCUCUUUUGAAAGCGUGCGUUGCACCUUUUGUGUGGAUGCAGGGGUGUGGUACUAUGAAGUAACAGUGGUCACGUCUGGUGUCAUGCAGAUUGGCUGGGCCACUCGAGACAGCAAAU